rnacentral:rRNA from 1 species
UACAGAGGGUGCUAGCGUUGUUCGGAAUUACUGGGCGUAAAGCGUGUGUAGGCGGCUACAUAAGUCGGAUGUGAAAAGCCCCGGGCUCAACCCGGGAAGUGCACUCGAUACUGCGUAGCUUGAGUCUCGGAGAGGUUGGUGGAAUUCUCGGUGUAGAGGUGAAAUUCGUAGAUAUCGAGAGGAACACCGGUGGCGAAGGCGGGUCACUGGGCCGA